CAUCAAUCCUGCUCAAUGGUCAACUUUCCUCGCGGGGUCACCCAUAAAGACAGCGGGAGGGUUAAUGAGUUGUUGUCCGGGAGAAGAAAACGGAUGUUUUGUCUUCUGUGUGUAUAAAAGAAAGAAAAUAAUUCUUGCUGAAAAUUCUACUGUACAAACAUUUUCAGUUGAGGUCUUUUCUCAUAUCAAAACGUCGGUAUUAGAUCAGGUCCUACUCACUGUACGUGCCAAUAACUUUAUCAAAGCUCUGGUAAACUAAAGGGUACGUCACCCCCCUACCAGAGUCCUACUCCACUUCCUGUUUGAAAAACGCUACAAAUGUGACUGGCAGACUGAGAGGGUGGAGCUGCUAACGUUGGCCGUGUUCGAGAUGAGCCGGUUCUGCUCAGAUUAGAUCACCGGUGAUCGGCGCACAGUGCAUGCCGGUUAGAUUCGUGUCCCACUUGACGCCGACUUGCUCUGACGUCAUGCCCAUGUAGGCAACGAUAAGCUUGUGAGAUCAAGGGGUGGGGCGCAGAUUUUGGAGCAAGACGCUGCAGUUGCUCUUCACCGGUUGCUAAACCUAGAGCAUAACGGGAAAUGCCUGGCUCUCCCCUGAUCUGAACAUCUGGUUGGUUCAUAUGCUGAUCCAAACAUCCGGUGGUAGAAUGCAAAAUGUUAGUUGGUCACAUGUAUUCUGUAAAGCAUGUUACAUUGAUGACAAUUAUGGGCCACGAAGAGAAAUGUGAUUAGUUUUAUUUUGUCACAUUAUUUUUCCAGGCGAGGCGCUGCUUAUCUCGAACAGGGCCAAAUACACACACACAGGCUCACAAUGGCACUGUGACAUCACAGGGUACCAGGCAUUGUCAUAGGGUACCUCUUAGCCAAUUUAAUUUCAGAUGCAGUGCAGAGGUUUUACCUGAAGAGGGUGCAAAACUGACAGUUUUAGGUAGAUAAUUUAAAUCUUAAAGGAGACAUAACAUGAAACCCCCACUUUUUAUCCAUUAACACAGUGUGUUUCACAUUUUAAGUGUCUAUGUGAGCAAAAAGGCUUAUAUUAUUCACUAGAGUUGCUAUUUAGAUAUUUAAUAAUUAAGUUUUGGGCAUUAUUUGUCCACCCGCUCAGUUUUUCAAAUACAUCAGAAAUUUAUGUUGUUGCGAUAACUACCAAAUAUGAUCAUGGCCCUCGGCUAAACACAGAGCCAAUCCGCCAUUUUUUCUUCUUGCUAAGAUUUUUGUAGUCCCAUUGGAAAAAUGCAGAAUGUCUAGUUGUUUUAGCCACUCACAGCUCAAAACUGUUCCUCGUUUUAAGGAAGAGUGGUGUGGCAGUAUUUAAAACCCAGAAGCUAAUGACACUACUGCUAAACAAAAAUUAAAACAGAAGAAAAAAGUAGUGUGAGUGUGCGCGCGCGUUCAUUCGUGUCUCCCAUAGUGAUGUGUCGGUCGCGAACGAACCGGCUCUAAGAGCCGGCUCUUUGAAGUGAACAAUGGGAGCCGGCUCGUCAUUGGGAGCCGUCCACUCCCCUACCCCCUCCCCUUUUGCUUUGGUGAAAGCCACAGGCGAUUGGUCAGCAUGUGUAACUGAGUGUCCAGACUGUCCACACACAGAGCAGUAGGGGCGGGGAAGAGGGAGGAUCAGAUUCAGACACACAGCAGAGCACAUGCGGGUGGAGGGAAACGAGAGGGAAUGAGGAGGAGGAAAAAGGCUAGAGAGAGAGAGGAGAGUGUGACGAAGACGGUGAGAAAAUGAGCGCCAGCAGUUGGAAAGUGGAGAUUUCUGAAAGUGUUCAGUUAUUAAAUCCAUAGAAGUGAUAAAUAUUUGAUAUAUAGCAUUUUUUUACAUUAGUAAAUCAUUUUACAUAUAGUUUUGCAUUCUUUUGGUUAUAAAUGUACUCUACGCAACAGAAAAUCUGAGGAGCCACUUGGGAGCCGAAAGAGCCGACUCUUUUUGGUGAGCUGAGCCAAAAGAACCGGCUCUCUAAAAAGAGCCUGAAUUCCCAUCACUAGGCUCCCAGGCUAGUGGCUAAGUACCAAGGGCUUUAUCUAUCUAAAAGGAGUCAUUUCCAUCUGAAUGUGGCAGCAACGGGACACAGCAGCGGAGCGAGUCCACAUCCAGAAGGCUGGAGCCGUGUUUCACUGACAGGCUGUCAGACUAACGCCCUGAUGGGCUCAGCUGGGACAAACUCUGGUCUGAUGUUUAGGAACACAGAACGUUCAGAUGUUGGAGCUUCACAUCACCUACUGAAGAAGGAGACCCACCAGUAAAGAGACGAUCUGGACCAGACCAAAAAUAUGGCGAUGACAUCAUGGAACUGGUCUUUGGAAAAGUUUUCCCUGAACCAACUCCGUUUCUAGAUGAGGUAGAGAAGAUCUGCAUCUCACCAACUCUCUGGUCUCAGUAUUCAGACAAUGGAGGUCUCCCACUGUUAUCCAGGACCAGUUUGAAGCCCACAUACUGCCCCUCCCUCAUCAUCAGGAAACGUCAAUCCGUAUCCUGAGGACAACAGAAGACGGCAGGAGGACAGGAACUCUGAGACCCAGAUACCACCAGCACCGAGACACAAAGCACCUGUGUGCACAACGCCUGUUUAACUACUAAAGCCUGUUUAUUAUAUUGUUCUACUUAUUUGCUGUGAGUUUAAUACUUUGAAAAUUUGUAUAUUAAUGUAAACAAUUAAAAAAAUAACUGAUUGUACGUUUUCUUUUAGAUGUAAUGGUCCAAACUCAGCCUUGUAGACAUUUAUUGCAUCCUGUAGGUAAAUACACAGAACAGGCUCAGGUCCAGGAUGACCCAGCAUGCUCUUCUUCCAUUCUGGCUGUUAGGGAUUGUAUCAAUAACUCAAUGCCUACUGAUGUUUCCACCUAACGGUAUUUAUUUAGAAUGCAGGUAAGAUUUAACUAUAUUUGUUAGCAAAGCAGACUGAUCUUGGGAAUUUCACUGCAGCGCUGAUGUCCACCUCUGGGUACACGUUAGAGAGAAUUACCAAGGUUACAGCUAAACACAUUUAAUAAAGAUAUAGGCUACACAUUGCAGACAAUAAAAACGUAAAGUUGUAAGCAUUAGAAUUAUAAUGAUCACAUUAAAGAACAUUUGGAGAAAUGUUCUUUAUUUGUGACUAGAAUCUCAAAUCUUUAAAUUAAAAUGUAACUGCUUUUUAUCCAUUUUCACAUCCAUUAUAAAAUUUAUAUAUAUACAUACAGAGAGAGAUCUUAAUAAAAUAUAUUCUUUUAAUGGUGUUUUAA